rnacentral:tRNA from 1 species
GGGGCUUUAGCUCAGUUGGUAGAGCAGAAGACUCUUAAUCUUUUGGUCGUGGGUUCGAGUCCCACAGGCCCCACCA